rnacentral:rRNA from 1 species
CCUACGGGUGGCAGCAGUGGGGAAUAUUGCACAAUGGGCGCAAGCCUGAUGCAGCCAUGCCGCGUGUAUGAAGAAGGCCUUCGGGUUGUAAAGUACUUUCAGCGGGGAGGAAGGUGUUGAGGCUAAUAACCUCAGCAAUUGACGUUACCCGCAGAAGAAGCACCGGCUAACUCCGUGCCAGCAGCCGCGGUAAUACGGAGGGUGCAAGCGUUAAUCGGAAUUACUGGGCGUAAAGCGCACGCAGGCGGUCUGUGAAGUCGGAUGUGAAGUCCCGGGGUGCAACCUGGAAACUGCAUUAGAAACGGGCAGGCUAGAGUCUUGUAGGGGGGGUUAGAAUUCCAGGGGUGGCGUUGAAAUGCGUAGAGAUCGAGAGGAAUACCGGGGGCGAAGGCGGCCCCCUGAACAAAGACUAACGCUCAGGUGCGAAGCCGGGGGGAGAAAACAGGAUAGGAUACCCGGUUAUC